rnacentral:rRNA from 1 species
GCUGGGUAGCUAUGUGUGGACGGGAUAAGUGCUGAAAGCAUCUAGCAUGAAGCCCCCCUCAAGAUGAGAUUUCCCAACUUCGGUUAUAAGAUCCCUCAAAGAUGAUGAGGUUAAUAGGUUCGAGGUGGAAGCAUGGUGACAUGUGGAGCUGACGAAUACUAAUCGAUCGAAGACUUAAUCAAAA